UAAAGUUAGUGUCGGAAGUAUGUGAUGUGUAUGUGAUCACUCCCCUCUACGCCAUCGCAAAGCGGAACGAAACGUCACACUGUCCUGGAACAAGUCCAGCCGUGAAUCACGUUACUGAGCUUGUGGUGCAAGUGAAGUUGUCAUCUUGCACACUGGGGGGGGGGGUCCCUGGCUCUGAAUCUUGCAGUCAGUACCAGCGAUUUGCUAAGUCAGUGCCCCCUCAAAAGAUGAAACCCUAGAUGGCCUUCAGUGUCGCUCAGUGGGUUGACUGGCACUGAUCAUGAGUAAUUUGGUGACGUGGUAAGUCGGUUACUCUCUUCCAGACAUAUAAAUGUCCUGAUUUUGCAUGUAUGGAAGGUGGAAGUUUACUUAUCAUGCACGCAGUUGUGUUUAUUACAGCAGCAGUGAAGACGCCAGAAUUGUUACAAAGAAAGUUGAUUAUUUAUGAAUUCACGGCAUUGGACAGUAUCAGCCAGAAGAUUCGUCUUCCAGCAUAAACUCUGUCUGUUGGUGGUGAAAGUGCUGGAUUUGAUGCUGGAGCAAGGUGGUAGUGCGAAAGUGAAGAUUCAAAGGCGAAAGCGUGCGAUCACAUAAUCUCUGUGAGCAACAGGUCGUCUGGCAUCUGAUACAGGACCCGAGGCCUCUUCUCACCUUGAACAGCUCAGUUUCAUUCUCAGGUUUGCUGAUGGACCAAUGAAGUUCAUGUGAGAGAUGUAAUUAUGAAGACAGAUGGGGCUUUAGACCAUGUGGGGAUUGGUUAUCAGCAUCCCUUGGAAAAAAUAUGGCACAGGACCUGAUAAACCUCAAUACACACAGACACACACACACACACACACACACAGAAAAAUUAAGAGGCCACAGGAAACAUUUUUUGUUUCACUCAUUUUUCAAUUUAUGGGUAAACUUCUGUGUAAAACUGCAGCCUGGCUCUUCCCUGUUUCUCAUUAAUGAAGGGCUUCUUCCUUUCUUUAUGAGACUUCAGACCUGCUUCUAAGAGCCUGAUACCCACUGUCCUAGCAGUCCUAGCUGUAUAUCUGAGAAUUUGCCCACAAGGUAUAA